rnacentral:rRNA from 1 species
UACGAAGGGGGCUAGCGUUGCUCGGAAUCACUGGGCGUAAAGGGUGCGUAGGCGGGUCUUUAAGUCAGGGGUGAAAUCCUGGAGCUCAACUCCAGAACUGCCUUUGAUACUGAGGAUCUUGAGUUCGGGAGAGGUGAGUGGAACUGCGAGUGUAGAGGUGAAAUUCGUAGAUAUUCGCAAGAACACCAGUGGCGAAGGCGGCUCACUGGCCCGAUACUGACGCUGAGGCACGAAAGCGUGGGGAGCAAACAGGGAAUUAAGAAACC